rnacentral:lncRNA from 1 species
AUGGUUGUGAAAUGAUUGUGUGACACCCUUCGGGGCAUAAUUACUCUGAUUGAUAUGUUGCUAUUUUAAUUGAAAUAUUUGGGGUAUUUUAGAAGGGUGUUACAGGACGCAGUUAAAAAACUACUUCUUAUAAGAGACCCGCUGGACGGAAAGAAUAAAAUAGUCCAGGCAAAAACGGGCAUCCCGGCUAACAAUAAAAAAUGAAAAUGAAAAAGGUUCGGGCAAAAAUUAGGGAUAAAAAGAAAAAACUGUACACCCGGCAGGUCG